GGUUACUGCUAUCGGUGUUCGCCUAAGCCAUGCGAGUCAUAUGUUCGUAAGAACAUGGCGUACUGCUCAGUAACACGUGGAUAACCUGCCCUUGGGUCCGGCAUAACCCCGGGAAACUGGGGAUAAUUCCGGAUAACGCACAUAUGCUGGAAUGCUUUAUGCGUAAAAUGGAUUCGUCUGCCCAAGGAUGGGUCUGCGGCCUAUCAGGUAGUAGUGGGUGUAAUGUACCUACUAGCCUACGACGGGUACGGGUUGUGAGAGCAAGAGCCCGGGAUGGAUUCUGAGACAUGAAUCCAGGCCCUACGGGGCGCAGCAGGCGCGAAAACUUUACAAUGCGGGAAACCGUGAUAAGGGGACACCGAGUGCCAGCAUCCUAUGCUGGCUGUCCGGGUGUGUAAAAUACACCUGUUAGCAAGGGCCGGGCAAGACCGGUGCCAGCCGCCGCGGUAACACCGGCGGCCCGAGUGGUGAUCGUGAUUAUUGGGUCUAAAGGGUCCGUAGCCGGUUUGGUCAGUCCUCCGGGAAAUCUGACAGCUCAACUGUUAGGCUUUCGGAGGAUACUGCCAGACUUGGAACCGGGAGAGGUAAGAGGUACUACAGGGGUAGGAGUGAAAUCUUGUAAUCCCUGUGGGACCACCUGUGGCGAAGGCGUCUUACCAGAACGGGUUCGACGGUGAGGGACGAAAGCUGGGGGCACGAACCGGAUUAGAUACCCGGGUAGUCCCAGCCGUAAACGAUGCUCGCUAGGUGUCAUGCAUGGCGCGACCGUGUCUGGUGCCGCAGGUAAGCCGUGAAGCGAGCCACCUGGGAAGUACGGCCGCAAGGCUGAAACUUAA
rnacentral:rRNA from 1 species